AUGAUACAAACAGCUCACAAGAGAAAGCUACCUUUGGUGGCCCUUAAGUUGGAUUUUCAAAAAGCCUUUGACACGGUCAGCUGGCCUUGCCUCUUCAGCAUCCUCUCUGCUGGAGGCUUUCCUCAACACUGGAGCUACUGGAUAGAAUCCCUACUUUCUACGGCAACUUCAAAAGUUCUGCUGAAUGGGGAGUUGGCAGACUCCUUCACCACUAGGAGGGGUUUUCGGCAAGGCGAUUCCAUUUCACCAUACCUUUUCAUUCUUGUGGCUGAUGUUCUGCAACGACUAUGCUGCUCAGCUUUUCAGGAUGGCCACCUAGUUCAUCCGCUCGGCUCUGACAGAAUGUUCCCUGUGCUGCAGUACGCCGAUGACACCUUGAUCUUGUUCCGCGGCAACAUUGAACAAGCACGUAUCAUUAAACAGAUUUUGUCCGAUUUCUCUGAUUUCUCCGGGCUAAAGAUUAAUUACCACAAGGGCACCCUCAUUCAUGUCUGCUUGGAUAGCAAUGUCAUAGAGGAGAUCGUCAGUUUGUUUGGGUGCCCAGCUUCUAGCUUUCCAUGUACAUACCUUGGCCUGCCUCUUUCUUUGCACAAGAUCAGACACGACAUGCUACUACCAGUUAUACACAAAGUGGACAAAAGGUUAUCCGGUUGGUUGGCUAGUCUCUUGUCUUGGGGGGACGGCUCACUCUCAUCAACUUGGUUUUGGCCAGCAUCUCCAGCUACUCUAUGUCAUGUUUCUGCUGGCCUAAGGAAUCCCUACAGAAAUUAG
rnacentral:rRNA from 1 species